GAUGAACGCUGGCGGCGUGCCUAAUACAUGCAAGUCGAGCGAACGGACGAGAAGCUUGCUUCUCUGAUGUUAGCGGCGGACGGGUGAGUAACACGUGGAUAACCUACCUAUAAGACUGGGAUAACUUCGGGAAACCGGAGCUAAUACCGGAUAAUAUUUUGAACCGCAUGGUUCAAAAGUAAAAGACGGUCUUGCUGUCACUUAUAGAUGGAUCCGCGCUGCAUUAGCUAGUUGGUAAGGUAACGGCUUACCAAGGCAACGAUGCAUAGCCGACCUGAGAGGGUGGUCGGCCACACUGGAACUGAGACACGGUACAGACUCCUACGGGAGGCAGCAGUAGGGAAUCUUCCGCAAUGGGCGAAAGCCUGACGGAGCAACGCCGCGUGAGUGAUGAAGGUCUUCGGAUCGUAAAACUCUGUUAUUAGGGAAGAACAUAUGUGUAAGUAACUGUGCACAUCUUGACGGUACCUAAUCAGAAAGCCACGGCUAACUACGUG
rnacentral:rRNA from 1 species